UUUUUUUUUUUUUUUUUUUUUGGGGGGGGGUGGGAAGAGCAGAAUUUUAAAGGUAAAAAUACUUCAUAUCCUUUCAUAGCAACAUAGUGAUGUUCAACAUCAUUAACGUGAUUCCAUUAAUAACAAAGCCAAGAGAAUCAAGUAUGUUACUGUUGAGGAAUCACUCUUCUUACAAACGGUUGAGAAUGGUAGCUACAUCAAAAUAUUUUAAAUUAUCUUUUUAAAAGGUAUUAAAAAAAUAAAAAAAAAUAAAAAAAUAAAAAAUAAUAAAAGGUAUUAAAAAGGACAUUCUAGAUUCAUCAUGAAUGUUCACUAUUUUUUUUUAAUUUUCUGGGCCUCACAAAUUUAAGAUAUUAAAAAAUUGAAAUUUUAAAUUAACCAAAACUUUUGUUUUAUUUUGACAUUUCUCAAGAAAGCAAAAGAGAUGGAAAAUCUACGGUUUUGGAUGCCAUGUGUUAAAUUUCAAUAAUUCAUGUAAAACUCUUGCCCUUUUCAUUUUACUUUCAAUUAAGAGGCUUUUCAAAAAAAAAUGAAUUAAUGUAGAAUAGUAUGUAACUAACUGUAUUUAAUCGUUUCAAAAUCAUAGAAAGAAGCCGCAGGAAAUACCUUCACUCCUACUGAAUGUUAGGUGAGUUAGAACACAUGGAAGGCUUUUGAGGGGCAGGUGCAGCUGUCAAACAAAGCUCCAAUGAAUGCAACAUCAGUUUUUCUAUAGUCAUGAGCUUUGGGGAACCCAGUGCUAUUUCUUGUCACAUACCUCAGGAACUGGGUUUGUAAUUUUCUGGGGGAAUUGAGAGCUUCCAUCCCUUCAUCCAAAACUACGACAUGUUAUGUUACUCUGAAUCAAAAGUGGAAAAGCUGAUCAAGACCAUCCUGCUUUAAUCAUCUUAACCAAAAAUAUGUGUUUGGAUAAGAUAGAGGAAGAUGUAAUGAAUUUUCUAAGUGAAUGCUCAAGUUUUUCAGGAGUUCAUAGAGUGAUCUGCUCUCUUGGUAGAGAGGAUUUCUAUAACUGGGUACCUUGGUUUUGUUUAUUGGCUACAGUCUGAAAAAAUUCUGUGGUGUGUAAUUUUACUUUUAUCUCCAUCAUUAUUGACCUUCCAAAGUGGAUCUACUACCUACAAAGUCACCAGAGUUCUGUGCAGGAACCGCUUACAGAAACCAAAGAGUAAGACAAAGUUUCCCCUUUUCUUUUUCCACUGGUGAAAGAGAAUAGAAAGUAUUGAUGAUUCCUGACCGAGAAAAAUAGCACUCAGCGGGGACAAGGACACUUUAAGCGGAGUCUUCUGCUUAGCACUAUGGCGAAUGUCAUGACCACCAGCUCAAUGGUUGUGAAAUAUCCGAAUUAACUUUUAAAAGUACCUUCUUUCUCGUGUUUCAUAUUCUCCAUCUACCUUUGUACCAACGUUAUAUUCUCUACUAGCCCAGAAGGAACAACUCCAGCUCACCUCCCAUUCAUCUUCAUUAAAUAUUUACUGUCAUCAUUUAAUGUUGUUAUUUACCAGCUAACAUUUUUUUUUAUUACUUCAAACUUUGAAAAAAAAGAUGUUCACUAUCAUUGAACUGUGGGGCUAAGAUCAGUGGCUAGAAUGUACCAAUACACAGACCAUCCAUUCUUCUAGCUCACCCUGCACAUGAACCACGUGACUUAGAGCUGCGUAAAAGAAAGGCAAAUCUAGCCUCUCAGAUUUCUCCCUGAAACUAACAGUUGGGCUUAUAAAAAGUAGUUUUCUAUUUUUUGUGGCCUUUAGACAAGCUUACACAAAAUCUGAAAAAAAAAAAAAAAGGAAAUACUUAAUUUCUGCACCAUAGAAUUUUUGGGAGAAAAGUUUUCUAUUUUGCUAUUUCCUCUUAAAAAGAAAAAAAAAGGAAUGACACUGUGCUUGUUUCAGAACUCAGAUUUAGGAAACACAUACAUACACGAAACCGGGAAGAAAGUUUGGCAAGGCUCCCCUUUUAAUAUACCAGGAUGUCUGAUACAUUUGGAAUUGCUGAAAUAAGUAGGGGGAUGAUGAGUGCUUCAGAUGACACUGAAGAGUGGCCUUUCAUGAAUUCACACAUAAUGGGGAGGCUUCAAUGUUAAGGCCAUAAAAGUAUCUCCAUUCAUAUCCUAAUCUGUAAACAGAAACCCCUGAAAAGAUAUUUGAUGCUUUUCUUUAAGAGAUAAAAUUGGAUUUAAAAAAAAAAUCACUAUUUUCUAUCUUAACAAUUAUCUAGGUCCAUUUUAUUCUAAGGGAUCUUGAUGUCUGAAGCUUUAGGAUCUAACGAAUUGGCCUUAAAUGGGAAGAGCCAACUAAAAUUAUAAUGCUGAGGUGUCAGAAGGUACUAAGGGGUGGUGGGGGGGGGGAGUAAUUCAUUAAUAGAUAGUUAGAUACCUACUUAGAUAAUAGAUAUUUAGCCUAUCUAGGUACACAUUCCAAACCCAUCAGUCCAUCUGUGACUGCUCCUGCUCGGAACCCCUGUGGGUCCCCAAACCGGUUCACAAGAACAGGCUUUUUUUUUCCGGAUUGCGGAGCAACUUUUAGUUUCCUAAGUCCGUGAACACCACUCAUUUGAGGGCCUCAUUGUAAUCCUAUGCGCUGACAUUGAUUUUCCCCCUGCCAAUAGGGAGGAGGGCCUAAAAAAAAAAAAAAAAAAAAUAAGAGAAUAAAAAAAUAAAAAAAAUAAAAAAAAAAAAA
rnacentral:lncRNA from 1 species